rnacentral:rRNA from 1 species
GUCACUGCUAUUGGGAUUCGAUUCAGCCAUGCGAGUCGAGAGGGUUCGGCCCUCGGCAGACGGCUCAGUAACACGUGGAUAAUCUGCCCUUAGGUGGAGGAUAACCUCGGGAAACUGAGAAUAAUACUCCAUAGAUCUAGGAUGCUGGAAUGCAUCUAGGUUGAAAGUUCCGGCGCCUAAGGAUGAGUCUGCGGACUAUCAGGCUGUAGUCAGGGUAACGACCUGACUAACCUAUGACGGAUACGGGUUGUGAGAGCAAUAACCCGGAGACGAUAUCUGAGACACGAUAUCGGGCCCUACGGGGCGCAGCAGGCGCGAAACCUUCACACUGUGCGAAAGCGCGAUGAGGGGAUCCCAAGUGCUUGCACGUAAGUGUAAGCUGUUUCUGUGUCUAAAAAGCAUAGAGAGUAAGGGCUGGGUAAGACGGGUGCCAGCCGCCGCGGUAAUACCUGCAGCUCAAGUGGUGACCGCUAUUAUUGGGCCUAAAACGUUCGUAGCCGGUUUGGUAAAUGCCUGGGUAAAUCGUGUAGCUUAACUAUACGAAUUCCGGGUAGACUGCUAAACUUGAGACCGGGAGAGGCUAGAGGUACUUCUGGGGUAGAGGUGAAAUUCUGUAAUCCUAGGGGGACCACCAGUGGCGAAGGCGUCUAGCUAGAACGGGUCUGACGGUGAGGGACGAAGCCCUGGGGCGCAAACCGGAUUAGAUACCCGGGUAGUCCAGGGUGUAAACGCUGCUUGCUUGAUGUUAGUCGGGCUCUGAGCCCGAUUAGUGUCGGAGAGAAGUUGUUAAGCAAGCUGCCUGGGAAGUACGGUCGCAAGGCUGAAACUUAA